rnacentral:misc_RNA from 1 species
UACCUAAAUGAUGGUAGGCUUAUUUGGACAUGCCUGAGGUUCCGAAAAAAUAAGUAAUUUUUAUUUAUGAAACUUAUUAUCUUGCUAAGUAAUUGAAGCCCAGUCAACAAAAAAUCUGGUACCCUUAUAUAAGAAAGGAGAAACAGAAUUAACUGCUACUAUGAAAAAAUUUCUUGCCGAAGGAAAAUUGGUGGAAAUAGAAAAAAGACAUUAUUUUGAAAGAAUGUUUGCAAUUAUAAGUUUCAGCAACACUGUGUUAUUGAAUGUUAAGACAAUAGGAGAAGAAAAUUAUCUGUAUUCUACAGAUAAUCUGUUUAUGCAAUUAGUGUCAUAUGGACUAAGAAAAAAUUUCCCCUUAAAAACAGAAUUUGA